rnacentral:rRNA from 1 species
UGGGGAAUCUUGCGCAAUGGGCGAAAGCCUGACGCAGCCAUGCCGCGUAAGUGAUGAAGGCCUUAGGGUUGUAAAACUCUUUCACCGGGGACGAUAAUGACGGUACCCGGAGAAGAAGCCCCGGCUAACUUCGUGCCAGCAGCCGCGGUAAUACGAAGGGGGCUAGCGUUGCUCGGAAUUACUGGGCGUAAAGGGCGCGUAGGCGGAUCAGCAAGUUGGGGGUGAAAGCCCGGGGCUCAACCUCGGAAUUGCCUUCAAAACUGCUGAUCUAGAGUACGGGAGAGGUGUGUGGAACUCCGAGUGUAGAGGUGAAAUUCGUAGAUAUUCGGAAGAACACCAGUGGCGAAGGCGACACACUGGCCCGUUACUGACGCUGAGGCGCGAAAGCGUGGGGAGCAAACAGGAUUAGAUACCCUGGUAGUCCACGCUGUAAACGAUGAUUGCUAGUUGUCGGCAGGCAUGCCUGUCGGUGACGCAGCUAACGCAUUAAGCAUCCGCCUGGGGGAGUACGGUCGCAAGAUUAAAAACUCAAAGGAAUUG